UACGGGGGGAGCAAGCGUUGUUCGGAUUUACUGGGCGUAAAGGGCGCGUAGGCGGUCAGCACAAGUCAGUUGUGAAAUCUCCGAGCUUAACUCGGAAAGGUCAACUGAUACUGUGCGACUAGAGUGCGGAAGGGGCAACUGGAAUUCUUGGUGUAGCGGUGAAAUGCGUAGAUAUCAAGAGGAACACCUGCGGCGAAGGCGGGUUGCUGGGCCGACACUGACGCUGAGGCGCGAAAGCCAGGGGAGCGAAUGGG
rnacentral:rRNA from 1 species